CUUCACAUUUUUCUGGAAAAAGAAAAACUACCUCAUUGAAUAGCUCCCACCUCUCAUCUCUCAUCUCUCACCCACCGCCUCUCAUCUCCUGCUAAACAAUCUCAGAUCUACUCUACUCUCAAUGAAAUUGUAAGCCUCUUUCAACGCAGCUUCCUCAUUUGUCUUCUCAUGGACUUGUAUUUCUCUGUCUCACCUCUCCAAAUUUUGUAAAUUCCGUUCUCUAAACUUGUAGAUCUUGUUCGGCGUGUUAAUGGAUUAUCAUCUUCUACCUUGUCGGCCUUGUGAAAGGCUAUAUUUGAAUUAUUACCAAUAAGAGAAAGCCUGGAAUGGCCUGAGUUAGAGUAGAAGAGAGUGCCCUUUGGCUGCAAGUUACAGGUGAAUGAACAAGACCCCUACAAUAGCAGUCAUCGAAGCAGAACUGAUUAAGAAUUGAAGGCUUCUCUAAAUUUAAGGUCCUCAGUCGAAGAUGAAGCUGUAAUUAAUUCACGCCUUUUUCCAGAUUAUGCUGCCUUCUCUCACUCAAGGGGACCUAUUACAGGUUACGUUCUAUUAUUUGGGUAGUCUCAUAUCACAUGUAAGUCUAAAAGCAAGGUACAAGUAAAAAAAUUCCUCUUCAGAGCUGAGUAUAGAGCUAUUGCAUCAACGCGCCGCUUCUGAAGUUGAUUGGACUUUGGGUUAUUACUUAUUUGAGGAAUUAGGUGUCACCAAUUUGAAGGUAGUAAGUUUGUAACCCUGCAUUAUGAUCAUCAAAGUGCCUUUCCCAUAGCCAGAAAUCCCAUGUUCCAUGAAAAAACAGAAGGUAGCUCGCAUUCUGUCCAGAAAACCUAAGCCGUGUCUAAUAAUAGAUCGUCCAACGUGAUAACGAGCAACAUGGGCAGGACAUUCGAGCUUCAUCAUAUAACAUGGACAGGACAUUCGAGCUUCAUCAUAUAACCUACUACCACUGUUAAAUCCUAGUUUUCUAGGCUUUAUUACUUCUUCGGUUUAGUAUCAUAGAUAUAAUUUCAGAAGUCUAAUGUCUGGAUUAUUUAGUUUAGUUAGUUACGGAGUACAUUUGUGUACUAUAGAAUUUGGUUAAUUAGUAACAUUAUCGUGUAUGAUGGAUUUUUACUAUGUACUUUUAGAUUUUAUAAGUUAAUUUUAAUGAUACGUGAUCGAAGACCAAUUAUUUAAAAGUCAGGUGUUACUGA